rnacentral:rRNA from 1 species
CAGCCGCCGCGGGAAUACCGAGGGUGCGAGCGUUAAUCGGAUUUACUGGGCGUAAAGCGUGCGUAGGCGGCUUUUUAAGUCGGAUGUGAAAUCCCUGAGCUUAACUUAGGAAUUGCAUUCGAUACUGGGAAGCUAGAGUAUGGGAGAGGAUGGUAGAAUUCCAGGUGUAGCGGUGAAAUGCGUAGAGAUCUGGAGGAAUACCGAUGGCGAAGGCAGCCAUCUGGCCUAAUACUGACGCUGAGGUACGAAAGCAUGGGGAGCAAACAGGAUUAGAUACCCCCGUAGUCCCUGUCUCUUAUAA